rnacentral:tRNA from 1 species
GCCCCCGUGGUGAAAUGGAAAUCAUAACUGCCUUCGAAGCAGUCGUUGUGGGUUCGAAUCCUGCCGGGGGCG